UACAGAGGUCCCAAGCGUUGUUCGGAUUUAUUGGGCGUAAAGAGCUCGUAGGCGGUUCGAUAAGUCGGACGUGAAAUCUCCACGCUCAACGUGGAGGGGCCGUUCGAUACUGUCGUGACUCGAGUCCGGUAGGGGAGUGUGGAAUUCCCGGUGUAGCGGUGAAAUGCGCAGAGAUCGGGAGGAACACCCGUAGCGAAGGCGGCACUCUGGGCCGGUACUGACGCUGAGGAGCGAAAGCGUGGGGAGCAAACAGG
rnacentral:rRNA from 1 species